GACGGAGGAUGCAAGCGUUAUCCGGAAUGAUUGGGCGUAAAGCGUCCGCAGGCGGCCGUUCAAGUCUGCUGUCAAAGACCGGGGCUUAACUUCGGAAAGGCAGUGGAAACUGAACAGCUAGAGUAUGGUAGGGGCAGAGGGAAUUCCUGGUGUAGCGGUGAAAUGCGUAGAGAUCAGGAAGAACAUCGGUGGCGAAGGCGCUCUGCUGGACCAUAACUGACACUCAGGGACGAAAGCUAGGGGAGCGAAUGGG
rnacentral:rRNA from 1 species